rfam:Felis catus isolate Cinnamon breed Abyssinian chromosome F2, whole genome shotgun sequence.
ACCUGGGUAGCUCAUUCGGUUGAGCGUCUGACUUGGGCUCAGAUCAUGAUCCCACAGUUUGUGAGUUCGAGCCCCACGUCAGGCU